CAAGUCGAGCGCGAACGGUUCCUUCGGGGACCUAGUAGGGCGGCGAACGGGUGAGGAACGCGUGGGUAAUCUGCCCUUUGGUGGGGAACAACCACGGGAAACUGUGGCUAAUGCCGCAUGAGCUCCCGUUCUCCGCGGAGAACGGGAGGAAAGCAUGCCUCUGCUUCAAGCAUGCGCCAGAGGAGGAGCCCGCGUCCCAUUAGCUAGUUGGUGAGGUAACGGCUCACCAAGGCAACGAUGGGUAGCCGGCCUGAGAGGGUGAUCGGCCACACUGGGACUGAGACACGGCCCAGACUCCUACGGGAGGCAGCAGUGGGGAAUAUUGCGCAAUGGGCGAAAGCCUGACGCAGCGACGCCGCGUGCGGGAUGACGGCCUUCGGGUUGUAAACCGCUGUCGUACGGGACGAACCCCCGGCGGAUGAAUAAGCCGCCGGGCUGACGGUACCGUGCAAGAAAGCCCCGGCUAACUCCGUGCCAGCAGCCGCGGUAACACGGGGGGGGCAAACGUUGUUCGGAAUCACUGGGCGUAAAGGGUCCGUAGGCGGCCGCGUAAGUCGGAGGUGAAAGCCCUGGGCUUAACCCAGGAAUUGCCUUCGAAACUGCGCGGCUGGAGUCC
rnacentral:rRNA from 1 species